GUGCCUCAGUGUUCUUUCACAUGGGUUAUCUCUGUCUCAUCUUCUAGGAAUUCUACACUCUGCCUCUCUGUGCCGCAGAGUUUCCUGGACUUCCAUGAAGCUGGUUCCAGGAGAAAGCCUUCCAAGAAGAGCAGCCCCAAAAUGCAAACACUUACAAGCCUAAUUACUGCCACUAAAUAAUAAAAGAAGAAACUGCAUGGAUCAUCCUGGAUUUCACAAAGUACAGUGCCAAAUACAAGAUGUUCAUCUGCAUGAAAAGAAAAUCUCCAGCAUCAUGCACCUCACAGCAUCCCAAGCACCAUGAGCUGUUUGAUUCCAGGAGCUGACCUGGUGCAGUGCAGCUGGUUUCACGGUUGGGCUGUCCGCUUUUUGCUGAACCUUGGUCGGAGAUGGCAUACUGCUGACGGCAGGUUCCUCCAUGUCAUUGCAAAUGGCAAGACUUCAUUCUUUUCAUGGCUGAAUAACAUUCCAUAGAUCCUGGAGAAAUGAUGUGCCCUCCUGGGAAAUUAACCAUAUGAUCAACUACACUUGAAAUUCAGAAGAGCUGCCAGAAGCUGCAGUUGUACAGCAAAACACCUCAGUGCCCCUGUGCAGAACAGCGUUUUCCUGCUGCCCCACCCACAAUGACAGAUGUGUGAGACAAAGGAUGACUUCCUAGUUAAAAGAAUUUUAGGCAACAUGCAACAAGCAGGAGAUUUUUGUUUCUUUUGGCAACCCUGAACUUCUAUUUCAUAUGGCCGUUAGAGUAAUUAAGAGAUGUGAAAACACAGUCUGGGGGUGUCCCUUCUCUGAUCCCCCGGGGAUGGUCCCAAAGGCCAGGCAAAAGGCCUUUCCUCUGAGUUUCUCCCUUCCUCUGUCCCCUACCUCAGUGGGGAUGAAUUGUUAGAAUGAAUCUGUUAUAAUUAAGGUAGGAGUUAGUAAAUUUUCAAGUAAUCAACUCUUCAUCUGAAGUCUCAGAAAGCAUCAUAUGUAUGUCUACAUGUCUCCUCAUAUCAUUCCUAGCUCUGGAUAUGAGAGUUCUGAAGCAGCAGUUGUGUCCUAGAUUACACGCUGCCUUCCACGAGUGCAGAUCAAGCAGGCUGACCAUGCAUUGCUAUUAAUCCUUGGCCCUAAGAACCCUAGUGGCUAUUCUGAUGUAGCUGGUCACUCCUGUUUUCUAACCCACUUAGGAAGAAAAUCACCUGGAAUAUGAGGACCAUGUUUUCUAACAAACAAAACAGAAACAAGAUACAUGGGCUGACAAAGGACGUGGCAACAGGAUGGAAUAUUUUAAAUCAGAUAGCAGUAUAUAAGGGUGGCAGAGUGGCCCUUCUCAUGCCUACUCUCUGGUUUUGGAGAUAUAAAACCAUGAGAUACUUACACAAGGAAAGGAGUGAUCCCUUUUGAUUGAGUUCCUUAGGAAAACAUUUCUUUUUAUACAUAGGUCCUAGUGGAUGUAUCAUAUGAGAGUAAUGUUUCCUAUCACAGAGGAAACUCUGCUCCAAGAAUUGUACCAAAAUGUCACAACCAAACUAAAUAGUAUCCUUAAGAAUCCUCUAUUUGGGGAUCCUGAUGACUUUUAUAACAUAAAAGCUCAACUUUUUAAAAGUCUAAAAUUAAAUAGGUGUUGAUAAAUAAGCAUUUUCAUCUUUGUGUGUUUAUGCAAAGUUGACAUGUCUUUCAACUCUUUUGAAAUAAUACGCUCUACCUC